GCAGUGUGGGAGAAAUGUGAUGCA
rnacentral:siRNA from 1 species